AUCUCUCUGCCGGCCUCAUCGGAGAGAGUUGCAGUUCCUUCUGGGCCUGUGUGGACUAGGGGCAUAACGGGGCGCCUGACUGGCAGGAGGGGAAAGCGGAGACUCCUUCAGGUUUCCGAAGAGGUCCGAACGGACAGCAUUAG
rnacentral:lncRNA from 1 species